rnacentral:rRNA from 1 species
UACGGAGGGUGCAAGCGUUGUUCGGGUUCAUUGGGCGUAAAGCGAGUGUAGGCGGUUUGACAAGUCGGAUGUGAAAUCCCGGGGCCCAACCCCGGAACUGCAUCCGAUACUGUCUGGCUAGAGUCCCGGAGAGGGUGGCGGAAUUCCCGGUGUAGGGGUGAAAUCCGUAGAUAUCGGGAGGAACACCAGUGGCGAAGGCGGCCACCUGGACGGUGACUGACGCUGAGACUCGAAAGCGUGGGUAGCAAACAGG